rnacentral:rRNA from 1 species
UACGUAGGGGGCUAGCGUUGCUCGGAAUCACUGGGCGUAAAGCGUGCGUAGACGGUUACAUAAGUCGGGUGUGAAAGCCCCGGGCUCAACCUGGGAAUUGCAUUCGAGACUGCGUAGCUAGGGUGCGGAAGAGGGAAGCGGAAUUUCCGGUGUAGCGGUGAAAUGCGUAGAUAUCGGAAGGAACACCAGUGGCGAAAGCGGCUUCCUGGUCCAGCACCGACGUCAGGCACGAAAGCGUGGGGAGCAAACAGG